CAGUCCUACAAAUCAAAGUCUGCAGCUAAAUCAGUAGCAGAUACGGUUUCAUGAAGGACCGGCUAACUAGCCAUAUUGAACUGUGGAGUGAGCCUGUGGGUGAGCUCCCCUCCCGCUAGCCUCCUCCUCACUCUCCCCUCUGUGUGCCCUGCUGCAUCCUGCCUAGAUGCAAGAGCAGCUCACCCGCCGCCGGAGGCUUCCACCUUGGCUCCCAGGGGGACAUCCUGCAAAAUGAAUCAGCAGCCAUCCUGAGCAGGCUGAUUAAAAUGAAAAUGGCAAGGCACAUGUCUGGGCGGAACUGGAGCUCGGCUUUGUUGCCUGUCUGACAAGCACGCUCAAUAUAGCUCUUGCUAAUAAUGGCUUACUGCCUUUCGGUUUUUAAAAAGCCCAAAGCUAGAAGCAGCCCAGGUGAAGCCUGCUCCUGCUUGAAGCUUUUCUACCAGACUGUCUCCAUUCUCCGGAUCUCAUGCAGCAUACAGUCUGAACAUGGGAAAAUAGAAGCCACUGAAUGCUGCAGUUGGACAAAGUUUAUUGCAAAUAAAUCUCAUUUCUUUUCAAAAAU
rnacentral:lncRNA from 1 species